AACGCUAGCGGCAGGCUUAACACAUGCAAGUCGAGGGGCAGCGGGUCGUAGCAAUACGAUGCCGGCGACCGGCGCAAGGGUGCGUAACGCGUGAGCAAUCUGCCCGUAUCAGGGGGAUAAGCGAUGGAAACGUCGUCUAAUACCGCAUAACACAUUGAACGGCAUCGUUUGAUGUUGAAAGCUUCGGUGGAUACGGAUGAGCUCGCGAGACAUUAGUUAGUUGGCGGGGUAACGGCCCACCAAGACCGCGAUGUCUAGGGGAACUGAGAGGUUGGUCCCCCACACUGGAACUGAGACACGGUCCAGACUCCUACGGGAGGCAGCAGUGAGGAAUAUUGGACAAUGGCCGGAAGGCUGAUCCAGCCAUGCCGCGUGAAGGAUAAGGUCCUAUGGAUUGUAAACUUCUUUUGAGUGGGAGCAAUAAGGUGUACGUGUACACCGAUGAGAGUACCAUUCGAAUAAGCAUCGGCUAACUCCGUGCC
rnacentral:rRNA from 1 species